rnacentral:rRNA from 1 species
AACGAACGCUGGCGGCAUGCCUAACACAUGCAAGUCGAACGAGACCUUCGGGUCUAGUGGCGCACGGGUGCGUAACGCGUGGGAACCUGCCCUUAGGUUCGGAAUAACUCCCCGAAAGGGGUGCUAAUACCGGAUAAUGUCUUCGGACCAAAGAUUUAUCGCCUUUGGAUGGGCCCGCGUUGGAUUAGCUAGUUGGUAGGGUAAAAGCCUACCAAGGCGACGAUCCAUAGCUGGUCUGAGAGGAUGAUCAGCGACUCUGGGACUGAGACACGGCCCAGAAUAUUGGAGGAGGGAGGAGAGCCUGAUACAGGAAAACCGCGGAGGGCAAGAACGCGCUAGGGUUGUAAAGCGAUGAUGGUGGUAGAGAUGAACAGCACGUUUAUACGGCACGAUAAUGACAGUACCGGAAGAAUAAGCACCGGCUAACUUCGUG